UUUGACUCAUUUUUUUUUACUAUAAAAUAUCAUCCAAACCCCUCCAAAUCUCAUUUGGUAGAUUUUAUUGAUAAAAUCCAUAAUUUUCAAUAGCUCGAAUUUGAGAGAACUUAUACAAAUAACUAAUACCAAUAAACUUGAUAACUGCGAGAAUUCUUAUUGACUAAAUUCAGAGAUCUAUAAAAUCCAAUAAACUUGGAUUUCAUAUAGACUGUAUAAAUGUUAGAUACAAUAAGAAGAGAUUUGAAAAAAAAAAUUGAAAUCCUCUCAAAUCCUUGAUCCAAUAAAACCCCAUUAAUUUUAUGUUUCUAUAACUUGCGAAAAGAAAAGAAAAAAAAAACAAUAUAUAAGAAGGCAUGGUGUAAGAUUUAGUUUAGACCAAUGACGAAUUUUAGUCCGACCUGUCAUAAUGAAUUCAAGUCGACAAAUACAAAUACCUAGCUACAUCUAUGAACCUUAGUAGUUCUCAGUGACCCACUUGAAAUCUAUCUCUUGAAAGCCAUUAUCAUGUUGACUCUUCACCUUUAUUUUGUUUGAAAUCACAGUAAUUCGCCGUCAUCACAACUCAUCCUCCAUCAUUUAAUUAUGUUUUAACUCUUUCAUUGAUGUUCGUUUCAACUCCCUUUGUUUCUCUUUCUUUAUAAAUUAUCUUGUGGAAUCUUCCAACCAAGCCAAC
rnacentral:lncRNA from 1 species